rnacentral:rRNA from 1 species
CCUACGGGAGGCAGCAGUGGGGAAUAUUGCACAAUGGGGGGAACCCUGAUGCAGCGACGCCGCGUGAGUGAAGAAGUAUUUCGGUAUGUAAAGCUCUAUCAGCAGGGAAGAAAAUGACGGUACCUGACUAAGAAGCCCCGGCUAACUACGUGCCAGCAGCCGCGGUAAUACGUAGGGGGCAAGCGUUAUCCGGAUUUACUGGGUGUAAAGGGAGCGCAGACGGCUGUGCAAGUCUGGAGUGAAAGGCGGGGGCCCAACCCCCGGACUGCUCUGGAAACUGUAAAGCUGGAGUGCAGGAGAGGUAAGCGGAAUUCCUAGUGUAGCGGUGAAAUACGUAGAUAUUAGGAGGAACACCAGUGGCGAAGGCGGCUUACUGGACUGCAACUGACGUUGAGGCUCGAAAGCGUGGGGAGCAAACAGGAUUAGAUACCCUUGUAGUC